GCGCAAAUGAUGGAAAAAUCACUAUUUGGAAAAGAAUGACAUGAACAAAGGAACCACUGAUGGCGC
rnacentral:snoRNA from 1 species